GGAAAGGGUCUCUUUCUGGAGAUCCUUCCUCUGGAGUUUUGCAGUGAGCCCAGGAUGUAGAAACCAUCUUAGCAUUACUGUGUGCAGUAAAGCAAGCUAUCUUGUUCAACUCAGAGAAGGCUGGAUUUGAUUUGCCCUCGUGAGUCAACAGGACACAAAUUCUGAGUCCCCUAGCUGAAAGUGGACCACUCCUUUGCAAGCAACAAGAGACAUGCCUUCAAAGUUUAUGACUUAGCUUUUCCACUCUCUUACAGACCAAAAACAUGGAGGACUUCCUCAUCUUCAAGCCAGGUGGUGGAUGUAUCAGGGAAGAAAUUCAGAGAAUCGCAUGGAGAAGCCUGCAUGGUGUCCAGGGGCAAACAAAGGUGCUCAAAGUAACACACUCAAAAGAUAAGGGAUGCUUUACCGCUAACAACCCAAGUAGCUGCCAGAGAAAGUUCUAAAGAGGAGAAGAUUUGGACUCAGCUGGGCAGUAGGUGGCUUCCUUUCCUCCCUUAGCGGGUAGCUUUCUCCUUACUUCUUUCGAACUGUGGGCAGCCAUGACCCUCCCAGGAUCACAUGGAGAAAACUCACAGACCUCUGAAGUGAAGAGAUCUGUUUAAAAUUCUGUCCCUCUCCUCACUGAUCUUUAUAGUCCUUGAUUUUGCUCAUGCACUACAGACUUGAUCCUUCCAACCAGCAUCAACUGGCAUUUUCUCAUUGACUUCAGCUAAGUGAGAUCAGGACACAGACAGGGCUCUGCUUUAGAAAUUGCUGUACACUGGUAAUUGAAGAAUUUUAUUCAAAGACAUUUAUCUGUGCUGAUGAAAUUAAAAUAGAAUAGGAAAGAGAGGGAGGAAAAAAAGCUCGGGCAGAAAGGCUGGCAUUUUAUUUUUCUUCAGCUUGCUUCUGUAGUAGAUUGACCUCCCUCAGAUAAAUCCGUACACCAUGGUAACUAUUUUCUCACCGAGGAAAAAUUUCCAAGUUCAGCUGAAGGCCUAUACAUCAUAUUAAGCAUAUAGCUAAACUGUGCAAGUGCGUAGUCUUGCUGCCCUCUUCCCAUCCUUCCCUCCUGCUGUUUGUCAUACUUACUGUCAUAUCUCGUUUCAAAGUCGGGUAAGGGCAUCAGGGCAGGGCAUGUGCCUUCCUCUGUGUUUGCAAAGCAGCAGUGUGUGGGAGUACAGGAAAGAAAGGGAAGGGAAACACGUUUCCAGAUCUUUGGAGGAUAAAUUAUAAAGCAAUAAUAACACGCUGUAAAAUAAAUGCUAUCAACUGAUAUUUACACAGUCCUUUAUCUAAAGUCUCUCUCUAAUGUGCUCAGCAUAAUUACAGUGCUGUUUGGCAAAACAUAGGUGGACAGAAUAAUAAUUCCUUUAUUGCUGUAUGGUUUUGUUGCAUAUUCACAGAUAGCCUAUACCCGGCAGGUCUAAAAUAAUAAUAACUGGAGUUCAUAUCUGGAUAUCUUUGGUAAGCACUGGGACCCUCUGGAAAGCAGAAACUUCUGUGGGCAGACAACUUCCCAACAUGGUGUGAAGCCAUGGGCCAGCUCAGGUGCUUGGCAGCUGAUGCUGAAGGCCAGCCUCAUGGAGCUGGUGGAGCGUAAGGCAAAAUGGGGAUUGUGAAGGCAAAACCUAGUCUGUAGGGUUUCCUUUACAACGUUUUAUAUACGAGAAAUAAAUGAAUGAGAUUUAAGGUGUUGUUUGCUUGUUUGUUUUACACAAACAACACAAAUAUCCAGGGAGAAGGAGUAGAAACUGAUGAAAGUUUACAAAAAGCAGUGGGAUAGGGCCCUCUAAGGUCGCUUCAGAGACAGAAGCACCAAUAAGAAGUCCACUGGGAGUCAGAGCAUAAAGAGAGAGAUUCAAUGAGUCAUAGAAUGUCCUGAGUUGGAAUGGACCUGUAAGGAUCAGUGACUCCAACUCGUGCUUCCAGGCAAUCAAGUUAUUUAUAAGUGAAUGCGAUAGAAAGGAGAAAAGGGCACUUUAGGAUUCAACUGGACAUGUGUAACUUGGUUUUCUCCCAGCAUCCCAUGGAUUGCAACACCCUCUGUGCAGACUUUUCCCAGCAUCUUAUCUAAAUGCUGCAGCUUUAUAACGAACUCUCCUUGGCCGUGAGGAAUCUAAUUGUCAUGGAGCUGGCUAGGAUUUGGGUAGAAGUGGUUAGAGCCCUGAGGCAACACAGAAAACUGUCACAGCUCAAGAGAAGGUGAACGUGUUCUCCCCUCACAGUGAAGGAACUUAUGCUCACUAGCACAUGUAUUGGCUCUUUAAGAACUACAAAUACACAAAAAGCUUAAGCCAUGACUUCUGCAGACGACAUGUUAGAGCCACUACAAUUAAAUGUAUAGGAUAUCUUUUAAGCACAACUUCAUUCACAGCAGAUUUCGUUGCCCUUUUGUCUGAUAUCAGUGUGCUUUUCAAGGCAACAGAGAGCUGCCUUGAAAGUCAGAGAUGGCCAUCUUAUCUGCUGUUUUUUUUUUCUUCCUCCCCUUUUUUCUGAAAAAUCACUGCUCUACAGGGUAAAUUGUUUUUAACAAAGACUUUUACAUGGAUGCAAGCUUAUUAGCUGACAUGAGGAAAAAAGAAGGAAAUGAAAGGUGAUGCAGUGCACAGAGGCAGAGAAGCAGUGCUCUGCAGGCAGUCUGUUCUUCUCCCGCUUACUACUUAUUUGCAGGAUUUGUAUGCCCAUACCCUUAGAUCCCAUCACUCUGGUGGUGACAACACUAACAGAAGCACGUUAGGUGAAGCAUGAGGAACAGCCUUUUUUUGCCUCAGGACAGAACUUCCAGAGAUGGCAUGCAACUUUCCCAUUUGGUUUCUGUUGAAAUCAUGUUGACCAGCGAUGAAAUAGAAGUCUAUAAGCCUCAUUGGUGGUGCCAGUAUGGAUGACAAAAACAGGGUUUAUCCAGUUUGACUCAUGAUGCUGCAUUUGGAGCACAUAAGUUCUGAGCUCCAGCUCUCUCCUGUCCUUACAUGUACUCUGAUUGCCCUUAACUUGUGAACUGCAGUGUUUUCUUUGUUAGCAUGUUUGUAAGUAUGUUUGUUAAAUUCAUGCCAUACAGUAAUUAAUCUGAAAAUGAUGUAAUUUGUACAGAGCUGGCAAGCUCACAGUAUUCACAAUACAUACAGCACAGCCAUGUUAUGUCUGGGACAGCUACGUCCCCGUUUGGAUAUUAAUGCAGAGUGACCACUGCCAACCUUAUGGCAAUUGGCUCUUUGCAAGAAGUCAUUCUGAU